UUACAAUAAGUUUACAAACAUAUCUAGGAUCUUCUUAAUUAAAGCAAUACUUUGUAAGAGAGAUCAUGAGUGAAGAAGUUAGGUAGCUCAGGAGGGACAUAUAAAGGAGAGAGAAUAUGAAUCCUACGAAAAUACAACAAAAUCUUGAUCAAUUUAGCUGAGACAAACAACUAAAGUAGAAACUGGACAGUAACGAGAAAUCUAGAAAAUGGAAAUAGUAAGAAGACAGAAAAGGGUAGAGUAAAGGUCUUACAAGGUCAAGAAAAAAGAAGAGGAUAUACUAAUUAUAAGAAAGAAAAAAAGAAGAAGAAGCUCAUGGGUAGGAUAGCGUCAUUGAUUUGAUCAUGAAGAAGAACAGUUCAUUAUCAUCUUCUUCUUCUUCUUCUUGAUAUAGCCUUUUUGUCCUAAGCCAAUAGAAAAUUAUGGACUACAUAAGUUAUAUACAUAAUUAAUAUAAUUCGUGUGUGUAUGUGUAUGUGUGUGUGUGUGUGUGUUUAUACCUUGAUCAUGACACCUUGGUGGUUCUUUAAUCCAUGAAACGCUUUCAAAUUCAUCCAUAGCCUGAAAGAGAGAUAGAGAAUGUCUUUCAUAAAAAUUUAUAUAUAUAGACAUAUGUUCA
rnacentral:lncRNA from 1 species